GAUGAACGCUGGCGGCGUGCCUAAUACAUGCAAGUCGAGCGAACAGACGAUGAGCUUGCUCCUCUGACGUUAGCGGCGGACGGGUGAGUAACACGUGGAUAACCUACCUAUAAUACUGGGAUGACUUCGGGAAACCGGAGCCAAUACCGGAUAAUAUAUUGAACCGGAUGGUUCAAUAGUUAAAGACGGUUUUGCUGUCACUUAUAGAUGGAUCCGCGCCGCAUUAGCUAGUUGGUAAGGUAACGGCUUACCAAGGCAACGAUGCGUAGCCGACCUGAGAGGGUGAUCAGCCACACUGGAACUGAGACACGGUCCAGACUCCUACGGGAGGCAGCAGUGGGGAAUCUUCGGCAAUGGGCGAAAGCCUGACGGAGCAAUGCCGCGUGAGUGAAGAAGGUCUUCGGAUCGUAAAGCUCUUUUGUUAGGAAAGAAAAACAGUAGACUAAAAUAUCGCCGUUUUGACGGUACCUAAAGAGAAAGCAACGGCUAACUACGUG
rnacentral:rRNA from 1 species